AACGAACGCUGGCGGCAGGCCUAACACAUGCAAGUCGAGCGAGGACUGCGGGUCUAGCUGCCGACGGGUGAGUCACGCGUCGGAAUGUUCCCUUCUCUACGGAAUAGCUCUGGGAGACUGGGAGUAUUAGCGAACAAGCGCUAUUGCGGCAAGAUUUAUUGGAGAAGAAUCAGCACGCGUGAGAUUAGGUAGUUGGUGGGGUAAUGGCCUACCCAGGCUACGUUGCAUAGCUGGUUUGAGAGGAUGAUCAGCCACACUGGGACUGAGACACGGCCCAGACUCCUACGGGAGGCAGCAGGGGGGAAUCUUAGACAAUGGGGGCAACCCUGAGCUAGCCAGGCCGCGUGAGUGAUGAAGGCGUUAGGGUUGUAAAGCUCUUUCAGCUGGGAAGAUAAUGACGGUACCAGCAGAAGAAGCCCCGGCUAACUACGUG
rnacentral:rRNA from 1 species